rnacentral:rRNA from 1 species
GUCGACGGUCAAGCUUUGUGGUNNNUACUUAGUGGAGAUAGUGGCGAACGGGUGAGUAACGCGUGGGCAACCUGCCCUGGAGAUCGGGAUAACACCGCGAAAGUGGUGCUAAUACCGGAUAUGCUCUUAGUACCGCAUGGUACAGAGAGGAAAGAAAUUCGCUCCAGGAUGGGCCCGCGUCCCAUUAGCUAGUUGGUGAGGUAACUGCUCACCAAGGCGACGAUGGGUAGCCGGUCUGAGAGGAUGAACGGCCACACUGGAACUGAGACACGGUCCAGACUCCUACGGGAGGCAGCAGUGGGGAAUCUUCCGCAAUGGACGAAAGUCUGACGGAGCAACGCCGCGUGGGUGAUGAAGGUUUUCGGAUUGUAAAACCCUGUCAGGAAGGAAGAUAAUGACGGUACUUCCAAAGGAAGCCCCGGCUAACUACGUGCCAGCAGCCGCGGUAAUACGUAGGGGGCAAGCGUUGUCCGGAAUAACUGGGCGUAAAGAGCACGUAGGCGGUCUUUUAAGUCAGAUGUGAAAUAUCCCGGCUCAACUGGGAGGGUGCAUUUGAUACUGGAAGACUAGAGUGCUGGAGAGGAAAGUGGAAUUCCUAGUGUAGCGGUGAAAUGCGUAGAUAUUAGGAGGAACACCAGUGGCGAAGGCGGCUUUCUGGACUGUAACUGACGCUGAGGUGCGAAAGCCAGGGUAGCAAACGGGAUUAGAUACCCCGGUAGUCCUGGCCGUAAACGAUGGGUACUAGGUGUAGGAGGUAUCNNCCCCU